GUGUCAGCCGCCGCGGUAAUACGUAGGUGGCGAGCGUUAUCCGGAUUUACUGGGUGUAAAGGGCGUGCAGGCGGGUCUGCCAGUCGGGUGUGAAAUUUCCGGGCUUAACCCGGACGGGUCAUCCGAAACUGCGGAUCUUGAGUACUGGAGAGGAUAGUGGAAUUCCUAGUGUAGCGGUAAAAUGCGUAGAUAUUAGGAGGAACACCAGUGGCGAAGGCGGCUAUCUGGACAGUAACUGACGCUGAGGCGCGAAAGCGUGGGGAGCAAACAGGAUUAGAAACCCUUGUAGUCC
rnacentral:rRNA from 1 species